rnacentral:rRNA from 1 species
UACGAAGGGUGCAAGCGUUACUCGGAAUUACUGGGCGUAAAGCGUGCGUAGGUGGUUCGUUAAGUCUGAUGUGAAAGCCCUGGGCUCAACCUGGGAAUGGCAUUGGAAACUGGCGAUCUAGAGUGCGGUAGAGGGUAGUGGAAUUCCCGGUGUAGCAGUGAAAUGCGUAGAGAUCGGAGGAACAUCUGUGGCGAAGGCGACUGCCUGGGCAGUGGCUGACACUGAGGCGCGACAGCGUGGGGAGCAAACAGG